AAUAUGAUAGUGAUAUAUCAAAAAAGUGUGAUUUUUUCUGCUAGUUUAUGGAUGGUUUUAAAUUAAUGUAUUACGUCUAUCCAAUUUAAGGAUACUUCUGAAAUUAAGUGACAUUUGGUUCACCUGGCGGACAGGUUAAAGGAACGGUGAGGCAUCAGGUGUGUUAACGUUUAUGUGUUGUAAUGGUAUUUCGUUUGAGCGAAUUUUAUUUUUGCUUAUAUUAAAUGUGGAUAACUGCUCUCAGGAUGAGACAUAAUGAUGUCGGAUUCUCUACAGUUAAUUCAACAAAGUAGUGAAUAUUUCCAAUUUUUGUUACUGAAUCCGUAGUUUAUACCGACUGUUCUCCCCGGAAGAUUGACUGCCUGGUAUUUCGACGAUGGUUAUAGUCACAAGGGGAGAUUACAUCUGGAUUGAGCCCCAGACUAAAAGAGAAUUUGAUGUUGCUAUUGGAGCAAGAGUGACUUCUGCUGAAGGAAGGAGGAUACAAGUUAUUGAUGAUGACGGAAAGGACCAGUGGCUUACUCCAGAAAGGAGAAUUAAAGCCAUGCAUCCAACUUCAGUUCAGGGUGUUGAAGACAUGAUAUCUUUAGGAGAUCUCCAUGAAGCAGGCAUUUUAAGAAAUCUUUUAAUACGCUACAAUGAAAAUCUUAUUUACACUUAUACAGGUUCUAUUCUAGUUGCUGUCAAUCCAUACCAAAUCCUUCCAAUAUAUACUGCUGAGCAAAUAAAAUUAUAUAAGGAUAAAAAAAUUGGUGAAUUGCCUCCUCAUAUUUUUGCUAUUGGUGACAACAGUUAUAACAAUAUGAAGCGAUACAAGCAAGAUCAAUGCAUUAUUAUAAGUGGGGAAAGUGGAGCUGGAAAAACGGAAAGUACAAAAUUGAUUCUUCAAUAUCUUGCUGCUAUUAGUGGUCAACAUUCAUGGAUUGAACAACAAAUCUUAGAAGCUAAUCCUAUUUUAGAAGCAUUUGGGAAUGCUAAAACGAUUCGAAAUGAUAACUCUAGUAGAUUUGGGAAGUAUAUAGACAUUCAUUUCAAUAAAGCAGGAAUUAUUGAAGGUGCCAGAAUAGACCAAUACCUAUUAGAAAAAUCUCGUAUUGUUGGUCAGGCUACAGAUGAAAGAAAUUAUCAUAUAUUUUACUGUAUGUUGGCUGGUCUCUCAAGAGAAGAAAAACAGAAACUUGAUAUAAGUGAUGCAUCUAAAUAUCAGUAUUUAACUCAGGGUGGCUGUAUAACUUGUGAAGGUCGAGAUGAUACAGCUGAGUUCUCUGAUAUUAGAUCAGCAAUGAAAGUUCUAAUGUUCUCUGAUCAAGAAAUAUGGGAAAUUCUUAAAAUCUUAAGUGCUCUUCUUCACUUAGGAAACAUAAAGUACAAAGGCACUAUCAUUGAUAAUCUGGAUGCAACAGAAAUAACUAAUGCUGGAAGUGUAAAUAGUGCUGCUCGUUUACUUGAGGUGAAUAACUUGCAUCUUAUAGAUGCUUUAACAACUCGAACUAUUUUUGCUCAUGGAGAUGCUGUUGUAUCCAAUAUGAGUACUUCACAGUCUGUAGAUGUUCGUGAUGCAUUUGUGAAGGGCAUCUAUGGUAGAAUGUUUGUAUGGAUUGUGAAUAAGAUAAAUUCUGCCAUUUACAAGCCAAAACAUUCUGCAAGCUACUAUAGAACAUCAAUUGGUGUUCUUGAUAUUUUUGGUUUUGAGAAUUUCUCUGUGAACAGCUUUGAGCAGUUUUGUAUCAACUAUGCUAAUGAAAAUCUCCAACAAUUCUUUGUACGACACAUUUUUAAGUUGGAACAAGAAGAAUAUAAUUUGGAAGCAAUUAAUUGGCAACAUAUAGAAUUUGUUGACAAUCAAGAAGCUUUAGAUCUUAUAGCAGUAAAACCCAUGAAUAUCAUGGCUUUAAUUGAUGAAGAAAGUAAAUUUCCAAAGGGAACAGAUCAGACAUUAUUAAAUAAACUUCAUAAAAUGCAUGGAAGCAACAAAAACUACUUAAAACCAAAAUCUGAUAUCAAUACUUCAUUUGGGUUGAAUCAUUUUGCUGGAGUUGUUUUCUAUGAUACUAGAGGAUUCUUAGAAAAGAAUAGAGAUACAUUUAGUGCUGAUCUGAUACAUUUAAUACAAGUUUCUAACAAUAAAUUCCUGCAAAAUUUGUUUGUUCAUGAAAUCGGUAUGGGUACUGAUACUAGGAAGAAAACUCCAACUCUGAGUGCACAGUUUAAAAAAUCUCUUGAUUCUUUGAUGAGGACCUUAAGCCAGUGCCAUCCUUUCUUCAUUCGUUGUAUAAAACCUAAUGAAUUAAAGAAACCUAUGAUGUUUGACAGAGAGCUCUGUUGCAAGCAGUUGAGGUAUUCUGGUAUGAUGGAGACAAUUCGUAUUCGACGUGCUGGAUACCCCAUCAGACACACGUUUAAAGAAUUUGUGGAACGAUAUAGGUUUCUUAUUCCUGGAGUUGGACCAGCUCAUAAAACAGAUUGUAAAGCUGCUUGCAUUAAAAUUUGUGCCAUUGUAUUGGGUAAAACUGACUACCAGCUUGGCCGUACUAAAGUUUUCUUAAAGGAUGCUCAUGAUCUUUUCCUUGAACAAGAACGAGACAGAGUGCUUACAAGGAAGAUUCUUAUAUUGCAAAAAGCAAUCCGAGGAUGGUAUUAUAGACGCCGUUUCUUACACAUGCGCCAAAGUGCUAUUAUUGUACAAAGAUUUUGGCGUGGUUACAUUCAGAAGCAGCAUUAUAAUUAUAUGAAAACUGGUUUCCAGAGACUUCAGGCUCUUAUUAGGUCAAGGAUAUUAUCUCAUCGCUUUAAGCAUCUGAGAGGACAUAUUGUGACUUUACAGGCUAGAUGUAGGGGUUUCUUAGUACGAAGAGAGCAUAUGAAAAAAAGAUGGGCCAUAACAAAAAUUCAAGCCUUUGUUCGCCGUGUUGUAGCCCAGCGUAGGUACAGAAAACUAAAAAUUCAGAAUCGACAUCGUUUAGAAGCAUUAAAAAUGAGGGAUCAAGAAGAGGCAAUGUUAAGGAAACAAAUGAACCCUAGAAAAGCUAAGGAAAUAGCUGAACAAAAGUACAGAGAAAGACUUCAAGAGUUGGAACUUAGGCUCCAUGAGGAAGAAGUAGCUGAAAGAAUGAACAUUGAGCAUAAAAAAGCUGUUAUAAUUGAUGCUUUUAAUCGUCAAGAAGAGCAGCUGGAUGAUUCAAAAUUAGUAGAUGCCAUGUUUGAUUUCUUGCCAAGAACAGACUCUAGUAGUGAUCAAACAGCCCCUACAGCUUUUAAAGAUUUAGAAAGAUCUCGGGAAGCUGCUCUUGAAAUUUCAUCAGAAGCAGAAGGUACAUUACCUGCUCCACCUAUGGAUCAAGAAGAUCUCACAGAAUAUAAGUUUCAAAAAUAUGCUGUUACUUAUUUCCAAGGGAAUGCAAGCCAUCAGUAUCAAAGAAAACCUUUAAAGCAGCCUCUCUUACCUUUAGCUACUCAGGGUGAUUGUAUGGCAGCUUUAGCUCUUUGGAUUACUAUACUCCGAUUCAUGGGAGAUUUGCCUGAGCCAAAAUUUCAUACUAUGGAAAGGGAUAACACGUCUGUUAUGAGCAAAGUCACUGCUACCUUGGGGCGUAAUUUUAUCAAAACCAAAGAAUUUCAGGAAGCACAAAUGAUGGGCGUGGAUGCUUCUAUCAUACCUACAGAAAUUUAUCACAAGCAAAAGUCUCGCAGCAUUAGAAAUAAGUUAGUAUCUCUGACUUUGAAGAAGAAGAACAAAAUUACUGAAGAUGUGCGCCGUCAGCUCCAAGAAGAGGAGUUAGCUGCUGAUACAUACAGUAGUUGGCUUGAAAGUAGGCCUACAUCUAAUCUUGAAAAACUACAUUUUAUCAUUGGGCAUGGUAUCUUGCGUGAUGAAUUAAGGGAUGAAAUUUAUUGCCAGAUAUGUAAACAGUUGACUAAUAAUCCAAAUAAGAGUUCUCAUGCUCGUGGUUGGAUUCUGUUAUCACUCUGUGUUGGCUGUUUUGCACCUUCUGAUAGAUUUGUCAAAUACUUAUUGAACUUCAUUCGAGAAGGACCUCCUGGUUAUGCACCUUACUGUGAAGACCGUUUGAGACGUACUUUUAUGAAUGGCACUAGAGGACAGCCUCCCUCAUGGCUAGAAUUACAAGCAACAAAAUCAAAAAAGCCACUAAUGCUUCCUAUUACAUUCAUGGAUGGUAAUACCAAAACAUUAUUAGCGGACUCUGCAACAACAGCUAGAGAACUUUGUGCUCAGUUGGCUGAAAAAAUUGGUUUGAAGGAUCAGUUUGGAUUUUCAUUAUACAUUGCAUUAUUUGAUAAGGUUUCAUCUCUAGGCAGUGGAGGUGAACAUGUUAUGGACGCAAUAUCACAAUGUGAACAGUAUGCGAAAGAGCAAGGGGCACAAGAAAGAAAUGCACCAUGGCGGUUAUUUUUCCGAAAAGAAAUAUUUGCUCCAUGGCAUGAUCCUACGGAAGAUGCUGUAGCUACUAAUUUAAUUUUCCAACAAGUUGUUCGAGGAGUAAAAUUUGGAGAAUAUAGAUGUGAUAAGGAAGAAGAUUUAGCAAUGAUUGCAGCUCAGCAGUACUACAUUGAACAUGGACUCGAUUUAAGCAUGGAUCGAUUAAUGGCUUUGCUGCCUAACUACAUACCGGACUAUUGUUUGCAGAGUGGAGACAAAAGUCUCGAAAGAUGGGCUAGUUUAGUUAUUACUGCUUGUAAAAAGAGUUACUAUUAUCGAGAUCGAGUACCUAUACCUCGUGUAAAGGAAGAUGUAGUAGAUUAUGCAAAGUUUAAAUGGCCUCUGUUGUUUUCACGCUUUUAUGAAGCUUUACGAUCUGCUGGCCCUCAUCUUCCCAAAAAUGAUGUCAUUCUUGCUAUUAACUGGACUGGUGUCUAUGUUGUCGAUGAUCAGGAACAAGUCUUAUUAGAACUUUCAUUUCCUGAAGUUACAUCCAUUGUGAGUCAAAAGGGGACUCGACCUUUCCUUCAGAGUUUUAAUAUUAGUACUGUUCGAGGAGAAGAAUUUACAUUUCAGUCACCUAAUUCUGAUGAUAUAAGAGAGCUAGUUGAAUUCUUUUUGGAGGGACUAAAAAAGCGAGCAAGAUAUGUCAUUGCCCUUCAAGAUUAUAAAGAUGAUGGCCCUUCCUUUUUGAGUUUCAAUCAAGGGGAUCUUAUUUUACUCGAUGAUGGACAUACCGGAGAAAGUGUAGCUACUAAUAAUUGGGCUGCUGGCCGAAAUGAAAGAACGGGUGAAAGAGGGGAUUUUCCUUCUGAAUUUGUGUAUGUGCUUCCUGCUUUAGUGAAGCCUCCUAACAAUAUAUUAGCAUUAUUUUCUCAUGACGGAAGCGAGCAAGGGAAAAGGUUAUUGUUUCAUGGUCCCAAGAAUGGUCCAGAACCUAUUGAUAAACCUCACACAUUAGAAGAAUAUGCUAUAGAUCAUUUCAGGUUACCUCCAAAGCGUACUAUCCCAAGAACUUUAACUUUGUCUUCAGCAAGGAAAAGAGAUAGUGAUCAGUUAUGGAGGCAUUCUAGAGAACCAAUCAAGCAACCAUUGUUAAAAAAGUUACUUAAUAAGGAAGAACUUUGUCAAGAAGCAUGUUUUGCAUUUAAUGCAUUAUUAAAAUACAUGGGCGAUUUGCCAUCAAGACGUACAAGAACAGGAAAUGAAUUAACUGAUCAAAUCUAUGAUGGCCCAUUGAAACAUGAAAUUUUAAGAGAUGAAAUAUACUGUCAAAUUAUGAAACAGCUUACUGAUAAUAAAAACAGGUUAAGUGAAGAAAGAGGUUGGGAACUGAUGUGGUUAGCUACUGGGUUAUUUGCUCCAAGUCAAAUUCUCUUGAAGGAACUGACAGCCUUCUUAAGGACUAGACGUCAUCCCAUAGCAAUGGAUUCUUUGCAGCGUUUGCAAAAAACAUUAAGGACAGGCCAACGGAAAUAUCCACCCCAUUUAGUGGAGGUUGAAGCAAUUCAACACAAAACGACUCAAAUAUUUCACAAAGUUUAUUUUCCUGAUGACACUGAUGAGGCUUUUGAAGUUGAUUCAAGCACUAGAGCAAAGGAUUUCUGUCAAAAUAUAUCCCAACGGCUGAAUUUGAGAUCAGCAGAAGGAUUUAGCUUAUUCGUGAAAAUUGCUGAUAAAGUGAUUAGUGUUCCAGAAGGAGAUUUCUUCUUUGAUUUUGUGAGGCAUUUAACUGAUUGGAUAAGGAAAGCACGACCUACUCGUGAUGGUUCUGUGCCACAAUUUACAUACCAAGUAUUUUUUAUGAAAAAGUUGUGGACCAAUACUGUACCUGGCAAAGAUAGAAAUGCUGAUAUAAUUUUUCAUUACCAUCAGGAGUUACCUAAGUUAUUGAGAGGUUAUCAUAAAUGUAGCAAAGAAGAGGCUGCCAGAUUAGCAGCACUUAUCUAUCGGGUACGAUACGGUGAAAGCAAAGUUGAACUUCAAAGCAUACCAAAUAUGCUACGUGAAAUGAUACCUGCAGAUCUAUUAAAAGCUCAAAAUGCCAAUGAUUGGAAAAGGAUAGUAGACACCUCAAGCAAAAACUAUCACCAUAAACAUGCCAACUAUGCUGUACUUAUGAUCAGGCUAUUGUAGCAGCAUAUAACCAAGAUGCUGGCAUGAGUCCAGAAGAGAGCAAAGUAAAUUUUUUGAAAGUUAUUUUUAAGUGGCCAACCUUUGGAUCUGCUUUCUUUGAAGUGAAACAAACAACAGAUCCCAGUUUCCCAGAACAGUU
rnacentral:misc_RNA from 1 species